AACGAACGCUGGCGGCAUGCCUAACACAUGCAAGUCGAACGAGACCUUCGGGUCUAGUGGCGCACGGGUGCGUAACGCGUGGGAACCUGCCCUUAGGUUCGGAAUAACUCCCCGAAAGGGGUGCUAAUACCGGAUAAUGUCUUCGGACCAAAGAUUUAUCGCCGUUGGAUGGGCCCGCGUUGGAUUAGCUAGUUGGUAGGGUAAAAGCCUACCAAGGCGACGAUCCAUAGCUGGUCUGAGAGGAUGAUCAGCCACACUGGGACUGAGACACGGCCCAGACUCCUGCGGGAGGCAGCAGUGGGGAAUAUUGGACAAUGGGCGAAAGCCUGAUCCAGCAAUGCCGCGUGAGUGAUGAAGGCCUUAGGGUUGUAAAGCUCUUUUACCCGGGAUGAUAAUGACAGUACCGGGAGAAUAAGCUCCGGCUAACUCCGUG
rnacentral:rRNA from 1 species